rnacentral:misc_RNA from 1 species
UCCGGCUUAUCACCGGCCAAUUGAAGAGCUCCGUCUCCGGAGCCCCGACCGGGAAGUCAAGGGCUGGUAAGGUUCUUCGCGUUGCCUCGAAUUAAACCACAUGCUCCACCGCUUGUGCGGGCCCCCGUCAAUUCCUUUGAGUUUUAAUCUUGCGACCGUACUUCCCAGGCGGGAUACUUACUGCGUUAGCUGCGGCACCGGCGGUAACCCGCCGACACUUAGUAUCCAUCGUUUACGGCGUGGACUAC